GAAAGAGCUUCAGGUCUCUGGGCUUGACCAGUGUUUCUGCUCUCCCUUGGAGUCCCAGGAAACGUAUCUCUUGGGAUCAGGAGCUGGGAUGGAACCCAGGGCUCCUGAGAUGGGACAAGGCUAUGCUCUGUGCACCUGUCCUGCCUCCUCACUUUGUACAAUGAGUGUGCCUUCACCAAAAGCAGAACUGGAAACAUCCUAAGUGGGCUGGUAACGAGGCUAGCUCUGUCAACUAGUUCAAGACCCCUGAGAGCUUUGGGCCUGAGGUUCCUCAGCUUCCAAGUGAAAGGCUUCGACUUGGCAUUCUGGGAGACAAUCUCUGUGACCAUCAGUUUCCUCAUCUGGAAAACUGGCAUCAUGAUAACUUUGAAGGUAAUUGUGAAGAUUAAAGGGAGUCAUGCAUGUAAA
rnacentral:antisense_RNA from 1 species